rfam:Myotis brandtii contig281048, whole genome shotgun sequence.
GACAGUUCUCCAGUGACACACCCCAGAAUCGGGCUCCUUCCUCUCUGGGUCCGGAUGUGUCACCUGAGAACCGCA